rnacentral:rRNA from 1 species
GAUGAACGCUGGCGGCGUGCCUAAUACAUGCAAGUCGAGCGAACGGACGAGAAGCUUGCUUCUCUGAUGUUAGCGGCGGACGGGUGAGUAACACGUGGAUAACCUACCUAUAAGACUGGGAUAACUUCGGGAAACCGUAGCUAAUACCGGAUAAUAUUUUGAACCGCAUGGUUCAAAAGUGAAAGACGGUCUUGCUGUCACUUAUAGAUGGAUCCGCGCUGCAUUAGCUAGUUGGUAAGGUAACGGCUUACCAAGGCAACGAUGCAUAGCCGACCUGAGAGGGUGAUCGGCGACACUGGAAGUGAGACACGGUCCAGACUCCUACGGGAGGCAGCAGUAGGGAAUCUUGCGCAAUGGGCGAAAGCCUGACGGAGCAGCGCCGCGUGAGUGAUGAAGGUCUUCGGAUCGUAAAACUCUGUUAUUGGGGAAAAACAUAUGUGUAAGUAACUGUGCACAUCUUGACGGUACCUAAUCAGAAAGCAACGGCUAACUACGUG